rnacentral:rRNA from 1 species
CUAUGGGUGGCAGCAGUGGGGAAUAUUGCACAAUGGGCGCAAGCCUGAUGCAGCCAUGCCGCGUGUAUGAAGAAGGCCUUCGGGUUGUAAAGUACUUUCAGCGGGGAGGAAGGGAGUAAAGUUAAUACCUUUGCUCAUUGACGUUACCCGCAGAAGAAGCACCGGCUAACUCCGUGCCAGCAGCCGCGGUAAUACGGAGGGUGCAAGCGUUAAUCGGAAUAACUGGGCGUAAAGCGCACGCAGGCGGUUUGUUAAGUCAGAUGUGAAAUCCCCGGGCUCAACCUGGGAACUGCAUCUGAUACUGGCAAGCUUGAGUCUCGUAGAGGGGGGUAGAAUUCCAGGUGUAGCGGUGAAAUGCGUAGAGAUCUGGAGGAAUACCGGUGGCGAAGGCGGCCCCCUGGACGAAGACUGACGCUCAGGUGCGAAAGCGUGGGGAGCAAACAGGAUUAGAUACCCGCGUAGUC